UGGGGAAUAUUGCGCAAUGGGCGAAAGCCUGACGCAGCGACGCCGCGUGUGGGAUGACGGCCUUCGGGUUGUAAACCACUGUCGGGAGGGACGAAUGCCCCGCAAGGGGAGUGACGGUACCUCCAAAGGAAGCACCGGCUAACUCCGUGCCAGCAGCCGCGGUAAUACGGAGGGUGCGAGCGUUGUCCGGAAUCACUGGGCGUAAAGGGCGCGUAGGCGGCCCGAUAAGUAGGGGGUGAAAUCCUGCGGCUUAACCGCAGGGCUGCCUUCUAAACUGUCGGGCUCGAGCACAGUAGAGGCAGGUGGAAUUCCCGGUGUAGCGGUGGAAUGCGUAGAGAUCGGGAAGAACAUCAGUGGCGAAGGCGGCCUGCUGGGCUGUUGCUGACGCUGAGGCGCGACAGCGUGGGGAGCAAACAGG
rnacentral:rRNA from 1 species